GCAUGGACCAGCUGAACAUCCAUGCCGCGUGCAGGAUGAAGGCGCUCUGCGUUGUAAACUGCUUCUGUACGGGAAGAAUAUAUCGUUUGCGAACGGUUUUGACGGUACCGUAAGAAUAAGGAUCGGCUAACUACGUGCCAGCAGCCGCGGUAAUACGUAGGAUCCAAGCGUUGUCCGGAUUUAUUGGGUUUAAAGGGUGCGCAGGCGGCCUGAUAAGUCAGUGGUGAAAGCCCGUUGCUUAACAACGGAACUGCCAUUGAUACUGUCGGGCUUGAGUACAGUUGAGGUUGGCGGAAUGUAUCAUGUAGCGGUGAAAUGCUUAGAUAUGAUACAGAACACCGAUUGCGAAGGCAGCUGACUAAGCUGUUACUGACGCUCAGGCACGAAAGCGUGGGGAUCAAACAGGAUUAGAUACCCUGGUAGUCCACGCCGUAAACGUUGAUAACUCGAUGUUGGCGAUAUACUGUCAGCGUCUUAGCGAAAGCGUUAAGUUAUCCACCUGGGGAGUACGCCGGCAACGGUGAAACUCAAAGGAAUUGACGGGGGCG
rnacentral:rRNA from 1 species